CCGAAAUGGCAUACUGCCUACUAUCUACUUACCUACUCAAGCAGUAGCUACUGCCUACUGACUACUCAAAGAUGAUUUGAGUAUGCCGCGGCUGCCCGAGCGUUUACACACAUACAUACUAAAUACCCCAGAAUGCAUUUCGUGCCGGCCGGACGCAGCGCCGGGAAAAUUUAAAUAGUCCUACCACAAGCUACACAGAACGACUGCAUCCCGGACAAAUUAUAUAAAUUCAUUCAAUAAUAAUAUUUUUUCUAGCGAGAAAGUAAGUGUUUACAUCACGAUUAUGAGCCCAGUUGUUUGAAAUAGUGGCUGUUUGUAAAUUUGUCUCGGCGUUUUCGGAGACCGAAGCGUCCACUUGGUCGGUGUUUGCGUCUAUUUACCGUAAACACCGGGCAGCAGCAGCUCCCCCUUCACGUUUCCAAAUUAUUGCGAAGUGUUUUCAUAAUCAACAUCUACACGACACAAACCGGGCGACAGUGGAUGAAAAAAUCACACAAACAUCCGUGUAUCCAUGGUGAUAAUGCUAUACACCACCUGCUAGGCGUGUGAUGAGCAGCAGAGGGCUGCAAAAUGACCAACACACAACAUAAUUAUUAUGACCUCGUUCGGUUAUUCCUUGGCAAAUACAUCAUUUCCCGACUACAUUCUUUUCAUGUACAAUGAUUAUUUCAGAAACCAUCAGAUUUUCAAUCACAAGUAAGAAUUAGUAAAGCUCACAUAGAUUGUCAACUGGAAACUCCCCCGUUUGUAUAUUCUGAACCAUGUGCUCUCUACCAAAGAUAAUUUUUAUUAAUCAGAGGUCUGAGCUUAAUAUGAGCGACCACUUUGAUGAUGCAUUCAGAGAUGAGAAGAUGCUCAAACUUGAUGUAAUAAAUACAUCUUUAAUAGACGCUUAAAUAAAUAAAUAAAGUAAAUUCAUACGAAUAGUUAAAAACAUUACUUAUAAUCCUAAUUUAAAAUACAAAUAAAUCUGGUAAAAAGAUCAAAAUAUGAUAAAAUAUAUAUCAUUAUUAUUGCAAUCACAUGCCAUCUAUUUCUUUUCAGCCUCGGGAAGGAGGGCCAUAUUACCAGCUGAGGUGCGCAAUGCAUUGUGGGGCAGAAGCAGUACGUGAAGCAAGCUCCGUUGCACACUCAGAAAUCGAAGCUGAUUGAGUAUACAUCCGGGCAUUUCUCGCAUACACAAAAUUCACAUACUGUACAGUGUGAACGCACUGCCUACUCAAUUCAGAGGCGGGGUUAGUAGGAGUAGUAGGAGUAGUAGGCCAUUUCGGACACAGCCCAACUCUCU